UGUCCAGUAACUCCUAUCCCUACCUCCCCGUGGUGCCGCCUGGGGUACGAGUAACUGUAGGGAAGAUCGGGUAACCAACCCCCGGUGGGAACUUUGGUCGUAUGCUGACAGGGAAGG
rnacentral:ribozyme from 1 species